rnacentral:rRNA from 1 species
GGGGAAUUUUGGACAAUGGGGGCAACCCUGAUCCAGCCAUGCCGCGUGAGUGAAGAAGGCCUUCGGGUUGUAAAGCUCUUUCGGCCGGGAAGAAAUCGUGCAGGCUAAUACCCUGUAUGGAUGACGGUACCGGAAUAAGAAGCACCGGCUAACUACGUGCCAGCAGCCGCGGUAAUACGAAGGGGGCUAGCGUUGUUCGGAAUUACUGGGCGUAAAGCGCACGUAGGCUGACUUUUAAGUCAGGGGUGAAAUCCCGGGGCUCAACCUCGGAACUGCCUUUGAUACUGGAAGUCUUGAGUCCGAGAGAGGUGAGUGGAACUCCGAGUGUAGAGGUGAAAUUCGUAGAUAUUCGGAAGAACACCAGUGGCGAAGGCGGCUCACUGGCUCGGUACUGACGCUGAGGUGCGAAAGCGUGGGGAGCAAACA